ACAAGCUUUCGGGAGAACCUCCCUUUUUUUUUUCCUUCAGACUUGAGAAAGGGAGGUUCUCCCGAAAGCUUG